rnacentral:rRNA from 1 species
UCCCAGACUCCUACGGGAGGCAGCAGUGAGGAAUAUUGGUCAAUGGACGCAAGUCUGAACCAGCCAAGUAGCGUGCAGGAUGACGGCCCUCCGGGUUGUAAACUGCUUUUAGUUGGGAAUAAAAGGGGGCUCGUGAGCCCCGUAUUGUAUGUACCAUCAGAAAAAGGACCGGCUAAUUCCGUGCCAGCAGCCGCGGUAAUACGGAAGGUCCGGGCGUUAUCCGGAUUUAUUGGGUUUAAAGGGUGCGCAGGCGGCGUGUCAAGUCAGCGGUAAAAUGUCGGGGCUCAACCCCGGCCGGCCGUUGAAACUGGCGUGCUCGAGUUGGAGAGAAGUAUGCGGAAUUCGUGGUGUAGCGGUGAAAUGCAUAGAUAUCACGAAGAACCCCGAUUGCGAAGGCAGCAUACCGGCUCCACACUGACGCUGAGGCACGAAAGCGUGGGUAUCGAACAGGAUUAGAUACCCGUGUAA